rnacentral:rRNA from 1 species
GAGUUUGAUCAUGGCUCAGAACGUACGCUGGCGGCACGCCUAACACAUGCAAGUCGAACGAGUAGCAAUACUAGUGGCAGACGGGUGAGUAACAUGUAGGUAUCUGCCCUUUGGCCUGGAAUAACACGAGGAAACUUGUGCUAAUACCGGAUAAGUCUUUACGGAGAAAGCUUUAUGCACCAUUGGAUGAGCCUGCACUUGAUUAGUUUGUUGGUGGGGUAAUGGCCUACCAAGACUGUGAUCAAUAGCUGAUUUGAGAGGAUGAUCAGCCACAUUGGGACUGAGACACGGCCCAAACUCCUACGGGAGGCAGCAGUGGGGAAUCUUGCACAAUGGAGGAAACUCUGAUGCAGCGAUGCCGCGUGAGUGAAGAAGGCCUUUGGGUUGUAAAGCUCUUUCGUCGGGGAAGAAAAUGACUGUACCCGAAUAAGAAGGUCCGGCUAACUUCGUGCCAGCAGCCGCGGUAAUACGAAGGGACCUAGCGUAGUUCGGAAUUACUGGGCUUAAAGAGUUCGUAGGUGGUUGAAAAAGUUGGUGGUGAAAUCCCAGAGCUUAACUCUGGAACUGCCAUCAAAACUUUUCAGCUAGAGUAUGAUAGAGGAAAGCAGAAUUUCUAGUGUAGAGGUGAAAUUCGUAGAUAUUAGAAAGAAUACCAAUUGCGAAGGCAGCUUUCUGGAUCAUAACUGACGCUGAGGAACGAAAGCAUGGGUAGCGAAGAGGAUUAGAUACCCUCGUAGUCCAUGCCGUAAACGAUGUGUGUUAGACGUUGGAAAUUUAUUUUCAGUGUCGCAGCGAAAGCGAUAAACACACCGCCUGGGGAGUACGACCGCAAGGUUAAACUCAAAUGAAUUGACGGGGACCCGCA